rnacentral:rRNA from 1 species
GUCUACGGCCAUACCACCCUGAACGCGCCCGAUCUCGUCUGAUCUCGGAAGCUAAGCAGGGUCGGGCCUGGUUAGUACUUGGUUGGGAAGACACCAUUUGGGCUUGGCUUCCAUGACA